UACGGAGGAUCCAAGCGUUAUCCGGAAUCAUUGGGUUUAAAGGGUCCGUAGGCGGUUUAGUAAGUCAGUGGUGAAAGCCCAUCGCUCAACGGUGGAACGGCCAUUGAUACUGCUAGACUUGAAUUAUUAGGAAGUAACUAGAAUAUGUAGUGUAGCGGUGAAAUGCUUAGAGAUUACAUGGAAUACCAAUGGCGAAGGCAGGUUACUACUAAGGGAUUGACGCUGAUGGACGAAAGCGUGGGGAGCGAACAGG
rnacentral:rRNA from 1 species